rnacentral:rRNA from 1 species
AUUGAACGCUGGCGGCAUGCUUUACACAUGCAAGUCGAACGGCAGCGCGGGCUUCGGCCUGGCGGCGAGUGGCGAACGGGUGAGUAAUGCAUCGGAACGUGCCCAGUAGUGGGGGAUAGCCCGGCGAAAGCCGGAUUAAUACCGCAUACGACCUGAGGGUGAAAGCGGGGGACCGAAAGGCCUCGCGCUCUUGGAGCGGCCGAUGUCGGAUUAGCUAGUUGGUGGGGUAAAGGCUUACCAAGGCGACGAUCCGUAGCUGGUCUGAGAGGACGACCAGCCACACUGGGACUGAGACACGGCCCAGACUCCUACGGGAGGCAGCAGUGGGGAAUUUUGGACAAUAGGGGCAACCCUGAUCCAGCCAUGCCGCGUGCGGGAAGAAGGCCUUCGGGUUGUAAACCGCUUUUGUGCGGGAAGAAAUCCUCUGGGCUAAUACCCCGGGGGGAUGACGGUACCGGAAGAAUAAGCACCGGCUAACUACGUG